ACCGCCCAGCGCCGCCGUCCUGCUCAAGGGAAAGGAGGGCGGGAAGCCUUGCCAGCCUUUAUGGACAGCCCCACCCGGCUGAAGGCUGCAGCUGCCAUUUUGAGAAAGGGCACGGCGAGCUGGCCCUCCCAGCCCCUCGCAGCCAGUUUCCUGCGUUUGCGCCGCUCUCAUGCCACCUAAUGCCCCGAAGGCUCGGCACGAAGCAGCGCUGUGAAGGAGCACAUUCCAGCCCGCCCUGAGAAGGAUCCUGGGUCGCCGCAGGGGCAGAUGCUGGGAGCGGCUCCAGGCCCUGCCCGCAGAGGCUGCCCUGCCCGGGGAAUCCCAGCUGGCUCCAGUUAGAUCCGUAGCUCCGUCAGCAGGGACGAUCCCCAGAGAGGGAUGCUGAAAGUCGGGGUUAAAUUAUGAUGGGCUGAACGUGCCUGGUUACGCCUUCAGGGGCGCGCUGUAGGGCAGCCGAGCCGAAAUGAGAGGAGCCGAGGUGGUGCUGAGCCGCACGCCACGGAUUUCCGUGAGGAUUGCCGGGGUGUUCCCUCACACUCCAGCUCAUACAAGCAUGCGGCUCGGAGAAAAAGUAACCCGGAGAUCGGCGAUCAGCUUGAUUAUCGUCAAGGGGAUCUCUCUUGUCUGUUGACCUCAGUGUUUCAUAAGAGAUGCUUCAUGUGCCUAAAGGAGGAAUGAGCCAUGAGGAGAUGCAGUGGCUAAAGCCCUGCGUUGUGUAAGAGCUGUGAAAAACCCCGGUUUUGCACGCAUUCUAACCAUAAAGAAUGCUGUUAUUCGAGCCUCGGUCACUCUUAUUGUCACUGUGUCGAUGCCACUCAUUGAGGGAUAUAAUGUCUCAGUGAUGACAUUGCCUGACUGACGUUUCCUGUUUAUUUCUUUUUAAAUAACAAUACCAAGCACUCACAAAACAUUUUGCACUUUACAGCAAUAUCGAGUAUUAGCUAAUGAGCCUGCUCACACCCAAAUGAGCUAUAUGACACCAUUAUUACAUGCAGACGGUCAGAAUGACUUCCUCAGGGGUAUUGUGAGUCAGUGCCAGAGGUAGCAUUAUGCUCCUGGUCCUAUUUCACAUUCAUUCCAGCAGACUAGAGCUUUGCACACCUGGAAGGUUUGUAAAACCAUUAUGAAUUAUUAAUUGAUUCAUUUUGAUAGUUUAAUUGAUUACUGCAUCAUUUUAUUUCAUGUAAAAGGCUUCAGCUGUGAAAUUCAGUCACUUACUCACUCAUAGGAUCCUAAAAUUGUUCAUUUUCAAAACUUUUAUUUGCAAUCCUGUGAUGUGCCAAGUGCCCACCCUUUUCAGUUGGUACAGGAAAACAUUCUCAUAAUCUGUUUUGAUGGAAGGAAAAGUAUAUUUUGGUGUGACUCUGUCAACUUUCAUUCUGCAUCUUGAGCUUGUGUUGAACCAUUUUUUUCUUUACACUGAAAGGAAUGAGAAGGAGGUGUCUCCAAACAAACUGUGGGCCAGAUAUGGAGAGGUGAAGGAAGUAGUGGGGGGCACCAUGAA